CUGAAAUUCAUCCAUAUGUUUGUGUGGUAUAAUAAAAAUACCACCUUGCUAAGAGUCAGUGUUUUUCACUAUUGAAUUUUGUGCUUAGAACGUACUAGCCGUUUGACUUUGAUCAAGUCACUUUACUUCUCUGUUUUCAGGCUACUUAACUGCAUUAUUGCAUACAAGAAUCCUCCUCUAUUUUACCAAAUAGAAUUUUAAUAGUAAAUGAAGAUGGCUCCAUAAAGUAUAAUCUUCUCUACAGGUAUAGCUCUCUGAAAGCUCUAAUUAACAUGGUUUGAAUGAUUCACACCUGAGAAACAAGCUAUAAAUCUUACCUAGUAGACUUCAGAAUUGGCUAGUAAGCCACAAAGGAGGUGAAGAGGAGAAAUGGGAAAAAGGGGAAGAAGGAAGACUCGAACUGUGUUAUUUUCUUUGCACUAUGAGUUUCCAUUUGCUAUCAAAUUUAAACUGUGAGAAGAACGAUUUUACUGUCAAAUCAACUUCAAAUUUAUGAUUCAUAUGUUUUACUGCACAUUUUAGAUAUUGAAUGGAGACUGUAUGUGUGACAAAAUGACUAUUAAAC
rnacentral:lncRNA from 10 species